GUGGGCUCUUUCAUCUGCUUUGACUUGGGUGAAGAAAGGGGUGUAGCCAGAGAACCAUUUGGGAAAGGUCAAGUUCACUAACAAAAGUCAACUGGGCUUUGUGAAAAUGAACAAUGGAACUUCUUCUGGUUACUUGAUUUUACAUCAUCUAUGAAACUAGCACAU